rnacentral:rRNA from 1 species
ACUCAAAGGAAUAGACGGGGGCCCGCACAAGCAGUGGAGUAUGUGGAUUAAUUCGACGCAACGCGAAGAACCUUACCAAGGUUUGACAUCCCAGGGACCCGGUGGAAACACCGGGGUGCCUUUCGGGGAACCUGGAGACAGGUGGUGCAUGGUUGUCGUCAGCUCGUGUCGUGAGAUGUUGGGUUAAGUCCCGCAACGAGCGCAACCCUUACGGUUAGUUGCUACGCAAGAGCACUCUAGCCGGACUGCCGUUGACAAAACGGAGGAAGGUGGGGACGACGUCAAAUCAUCAUGCCCCUUAUAUCUUGGGCUUCACACGUACUACAAUGGCGGUAACAACGCGCUGCAACUACGCGAGUAGGAGCGAAUCGCUUAAAAUCCGCCUCAGUUCGGAUCGCAGGCUGCAACCCGCCUGCGUGAAGUCGGAAUUGCUAGUAAUCGCGGAUCAGCAUGCCGCGGUGAAUACGUUCCCGGGCCUUGUACACACCGCCCGU